GCGCGAGCGCCCGUCGCACAGCCGCGAUAGCAAAAUAAUUAUUAAUAAACAUUACCAAGCGCCUCGGGCUUGUUACUAACUAACUAGUGCUAUUGGGGACUCUGGAUAUGUUGUCAUUAGUUUUUACCAUCCACCACUAUCUGCACACCGCCGCAAUUAGUCAAAUAGGGGAAGGAGGACGCUGGACUGGCUAUAAAUACGCUGGACUGGCUAUAAUAAUAAUUAUGUUGGUUGUCAUUUGUUAGUUACAAUUUGUUUUGGACAAUGGUUAGUAGGGUAGGGUAUUAGUUGACGCCAUUAACCAGAACCGCGUUUGGGAGGUUGACACUUAGGCAGUAAUAUGCUGGACUGGCUGUAUAUUGUAAUUUAUUGGAAUUGUUUUAAAAUCCCCCUUGAAUAAAAUGUAAUACAGACGCUUAUUUUCUAUGGACCAAUACAGGUAGGUAUUUUUUGCCGAAAUUUAUAUAAUUGUAUGUUGUAAAAAUUAAUGUUAUUAAUUAAUGAAAUUAAAACCAAGUUGGAUAAAAAUAUACGUGUUAUUUAUGUGAAGUUUUGGAUCUCUAAAUUUAAAAUUGCAUAAAUAAUAAAAGAUAUUUAGUGUUAUCAGUGUCGAAGAUUAUUUUGCCGAUUUCGUAAUGAAAUAUCUUGUGAAGACGAGACUAGUACACAGUAAAGGCAGACAAGCGUGUAUAGCUUCUACCUCUAUAAAUAAAGAUUUGAGAUACUAUUUGAGGUCAAAUUGUGACUAAAUAUCAACAGUAAUGAAAGACACUUGUUCACUUUCUAUUGCGGACCCAUCUCUUGACACAAUCUCUAUCAAAGGAGAAGGCAUUUGUUAUCUAUAAUAAAGAGAAAGAUAGAGAUGUGUAAUUAAAUCAAGACAUUGUAUAGCCAGUCCAGGAAAUUUAAUUGCCAUACAUAAAACUGAUGUAUGUUUAUUGUAGUGAUGGCAAAUCGUAUCGGGUAGGCUUCCAAGUACCUGAUGUAAAUUGUAGCGAUAGUGCACAGACUUUACUAAAAUUGCCGAUAUUUUAGUACUUGGAUUUUAAGGCCACUAGCACAUUUAAUUUAAUGAAAUUAAAGAUUGUUUAAAACUUUAUUUUGUCUCUGUCAACCUGUUUGAAAACAAUAGAGAUAGUAAAAUUAUAAUGAUGUUUUAAACUUGAUUUAAAAACGUGUAAGUGGCGCUAAUUGAUAGCUAAUAAAUUUGCGUAAUCGAAUUUUGUACUUAUAAGUAACACGUCAAAAUUAGUGUAAAUAAUGCAAUUCGGCUUGUUCCCAUAUUAUGAUCCUAUUUUCCAAAAGCACUUGUGUAGGUACACUUAUGAAAAACAUAAUAAUCACCUUUAUGAAAUGUAGCAUGUUAUGCAGUUUGCAAUUUAAUACUUGAUGUUUUAUUAUUCCACUAACUAAAGGAAGUCUGUUUCAUAGUUUAGUAUGGGAACAAGCCUGAAAUUCUUACGCUGAGUUGGAUCACCUUAACUUUAACUAUAACUAGUGUUUUUGACAAGUAACAGACUUGAAGUUUGCUAUAGAUAGUUAAUGUAAGAUGAUGCAAGCUAGGGUUAGACUGUUAUUGUCACCAGUAGACCUAGGAUGCGCACCGCGAUAAGAGUUUAUCACGUCAUUUUAUCGAUUGUACGCGAUAAGCCCAUACAUUUGUCGUCUAAAAUCGAUAAGAUUUUGUCACGGCGCGCAACCUAGCCCGGCUGGUUAAAAUUUGAAAAGUAUAGCACGUAUGCCUAAGCGUGAUAGCUUCUUAAAAUAUCGGUUACGCAUUUCUGAUCGAAGCCAUCGCUUACUUUUGAAUUAAUACUUUAUGGUAUAUUCGUUACAAUUGUACCAUCGAUAGCACAUCAGGCUAUACAUUUUUGUUGGAAAAUAGCGCCUAUUGGAACUACAUAAAGGUGCCACAACGUUUGGCUUGAUGCGCCGUUGUCGUCAGUACGACAAAGCCCAAUGUUACUGAACUUUAGUUGUAGUAGCAAUGGCUGUGCUAGUAUUCUAUUUUUAUCUAAAUUAUAGAUGUAGAUAUUUUAUUGUAUAUAGGUUGUAUUGACCAAGGUUGGGUGUCUGAGGAACAUAAAGUAAAGACCAUUAUAAAAAGAGAAACUGCAUCGAAAUCUCAAACGUUAUUUGCAGUUUCUUGAUUGAAUUGUGGUGAAUUACAUUAUAUUUCUCAGCUGUAUGAAUUGGAAUAAUGGUAGGAAUGAAGAAACACAAUGGAGGCCCGCAUUCUGAAACUACGCUCAAACUUGAUUCGAAUAUAAGUUUAGGUGUGUUUAAAUCCAGUUUUGAGGUUCGUUUCAUAAUACGGACCCGAGAAUAGUAUAGUCGAAUAGUUUAAUAUAACACUAUAAAAUUACCUCAUAAUCCAUGGCCUUUCCUUAAAUAAUACUAUGUCCUAGAAAGUACUGACUGAGCAAUGUACUGGAUAUUUUGUGGUAAAUCGUUAAAACUCUCGUUUGUAAUGUUGAAUAAUAUGCUUUGUUACCAUAAUUUUGUUUUCGCUUCUCCCUUAGUGUAUUAUAUUAAUUAAUUUAAAUUAUUUUAGGGUUGUUUUCUGUAAUUUUGGGGGUUUUCUGUAAUUUAAUACAAAUUAAGGAAAUAUUAUUAUAGAAAUUCUUCAAAGGCACAUAAAAUAUGUUAUUAUACCUGUAUUUACUUACAUGUUGGAAUAUUUAGAUUUUGAUCUCUUAUACCUUAUUAUGUUAUUGUAAUUUUGCUCUGCAUUUGUGCGACAAACUAUAUUUAUGUCAAUUUUAUAAUAACAGUGUCCCGUAUUCUAAAAAUAUUUUUAAGUGAUUUAAAUGUCAAUCCUAAAAACUAGUUGAAAACAGAUAAUUUUCAAAGCAUUAUGGUUAAUGAUUGUUAGUAAAUAGAAUUCGUAUACCUAAUUAUUAUAGAUUAAUUUAUUAAAAGAAAGUGAAAAACAUUCAAUGAUAAAAUAUUCUGUUUUCAUCUGGCGAUAUUAUUAUUUCUUUCUUAUCAAUUGUAUUUUAGGUUUUAUAGAAAAAUAUUAUCUCAUACAAAAUAUUAUGGAUUUUGUACGGACACAUUCUGGAUUGCGGUGGCGCAGUAUUUCCUUCGUGAUUGUCACUUGUGGCUAAUAUAAAAAAAUCUAAGAAAAUGUAUUUUGUCUAUGGUUGAACAAAUUGAUAAGUUUCAAAUGGGUAAUUAUGAAAUUACAUAAAAUUUAAUAAAUCUCUAGAGCAAUUUAUUUCAUUAAAAUCGAGCAAAUGCAGGAACUUUAUUAAUUCUACAUUAAAUGCUUUAAUCGCUCUAGAGAACGUUAUAAAUUAUUUUUUUACUUAGGUGCAGGUACUUAUUUGUUAUUUAAGUCGUACCUAUGUCUGCGCAUUUUAUCCCGCAAUCCAGCUUUUAGUAAAUACUUAAUUCUUCAAUGUUCUGGCUCAAAAUGUACAUAGAUGAAAGAGUACAAUUCCUUAUUGUAAUUACUUGUAAUCUUAUUAGCUAUUGCAUAAGUGAUUCGCAAUGAAUAAAAAGCAUUUUAUGACGAA